rnacentral:rRNA from 1 species
CAGCAGCCACGGGAAUACAGAGGGUGCGAGCGUUAAUCGGAUUUACUGGGCGUAAAGCGUGCGUAGGCGGCUUUUUAAGUCGGAUGUGAAAUCCCUGAGCUUAACUUAGGAAUUGCAUUCGAUACUGGGAAGCUAGAGUAUGGGAGAGGAUGGUAGAAUUCCAGGUGUAGCGGUGAAAUGCGUAGAGAUCUGGAGGAAUACCGAUGGCGAAGGCAGCCAUCUGGCCUAAUACUGACGCUGAGGUACGAAAGCAUGGGGAGCAAACAGGAUUAGAUACCCCGGUAGUCCCUGUCUCUUAUAA